rnacentral:rRNA from 1 species
GGGGGCGGCCGCUUUACAUGUCAGUCGAACGAUGACGGAGGAGCUUGCUCCUCCUGAUUAGUGGCGAACGGGUGAGUAAUACGUGAGCAAUGUGCCCUUGACUCUGGGAUAAGCGCUGGAAACGGCGUCUAAUACCGGAUACGACGAUCGGAGGCAUCUCCUGGUCGUGGAAAGAACUUCGGUCAAGGAUCAGCUCACGGCCUAUCAGUUAGUUGGUGAGGUAAUGGCUCACCAAGACGACGACGGGUAGCCGGCCUGAGAGGGUGACCGGCCACACUGGGACUGAGACACGGCCCAGACUCCUACGGGAGGCAGCAGUGGGGAAUAUUGCACAAUGGGCGCAAGCCUGAUGCAGCAACGCCGCGUGAGGGACGAAGGCCUUCGGGUUGUAAACCUCUUUUAGCAGGGAAGAAGCGAAAGUGACGGUACCUGCAGAAAAAGCACCGGCUAACUACGUGCCAGCAGCCGCGGUAAUACGUAGGGUGCAAGCGUUGUCCGGAAUUAUUGGGCGUAAAGAGCUCGUAGGCGGUUUGUCACGUCUGCUGUGAAAACCCGAGGCUCAACCUCGGGCUUGCAGUGGGUACGGGCAGACUAGAGUGCGGUAGGGGAGAUUGGAAUUCCUGGUGUAGCGGUGGAAUGCGCAGAUAUCAGGAGGAACACCGAUGGCGAAGGCAGAUCUCUGGGCCGUAACUGACGCUGAGGAGCGAAAGCAUGGGGAGCAAACAGGCUUAGAUACCCUGGUAGUCCAUGCCGUAAACGUUGGGAACUAGAUGUGGGGACCAUUCCACGGUCUCCGUGUC